rnacentral:rRNA from 1 species
CGGCGAAGGGUGAGUAACACGUAACCAACGUACCCCUCAGAUCGGGAUAACCACUGGAAACGGUGGAUAAUACUGAAUGGUCCUAGGAAGGACAUCCUUCCGAAGGUAAACGGCGGCUUCGGCUGCUGUUGAGGGAGCGGGUUGCGUCCUAUCAGCUUGUUGGUGAGGUAACGGCUCACCAAGGCUAUGACGGGUAGCGGGUCUGAGAGGAUGAUCCGCCACACUGGGACUGAGACACUGCCCAGACUCCUACGGGAGGCCGCAGUCGAGAAUCUUCCACAAUGGCGAAAGCCUGAUGGAGCGACGCUGCGUGUAGGAUGAAGGCCUUAGGGUUGUAAACUACUGUCACGCUAUAGGAACCCGUGUAGGUUAAUAGCCUGCGCGCUGACCAAAGCGAGAGGAAGUGCCGGCUAACUCCGUGCCAGCAGCCGCGGUAAGACGGAGGGCGCAAGCGUUGUUCGGAAUCACUGGGCAUAAAGGGCGCGUAGGCGGCCAGUUCAGUCGGACGUGAAAUCCCCCGGCCCAACCGGGGAACUGCAUUCGAUACUGACUGGCUAGAGGAUGGUAGGAGCCAAUGGAACUCCAGGUGGAACGGUGAAAUGUGUAGAUAUCUGGAGGAACACCGGUGGCGAAAGCGAUUGGCUGGGCCAUUUCUGACGCUGAGGCGCGAAAGCUAGGGGAGCGAACGGGAUUAGAUACCCCGGUAGUCCUAGCCGUAAA